UAUGUGUGGUGGCCAGUAGUAGUCAACUGCCACUCUACAACUGCCACUCUGUAACUGCCACUCUGCAACGGUUUCCCACAGGGACAGCUCACCUGCAUCCCACACAAGCAGUGCCAGCUCUACCCUGCAGCCCAGGGAAUGUGCAGGAACUGCUUUCUCAAGUCCUACAUCCAGGUAGGGACAUGGCCACGUCUCCUGCUCAAGAACUUGGGGCCAUCCCACACAAGCAGUGCCAGCUGUACCCUGAAGCCCAGGGAAGGUGCAGGAACUGCUUUCUCAAGUGCUACAAACAGAGAACUGAAGUUUGAUUCCUGGUACCAACAUGGCAGCUGACAACCAUUUAUGACACCAAGUAAAGGGCAUAUGUUACCA